GAUGAACGCUGGCGGCGUGCCUAACACAUGCAAGUCGAACGGACGGACCUGCUUCUCCUUUUUCUGUUGGUAGCGUCGGACGGCUGAGUGAUACGUAGAUCACCUACCUAUUAGACUCGGCUUACUUCGAGAAACCGGAGACAAUACCUGAUAUUCUUUUGAACUGCAUGGUUCAACCUGUAGUGACGGUCUUGCUGCUACUUAUAGAUGGUUCCGCGCUGCAUUAGCUAGUUGGUAAGGUAACGGCAUACUAAGGCAACGAUGCAUAGCCGGCGUGAGAGGGUGAUCGGCCACAGUGGAACUGAGACAGGGUCCAGACUCCUACGGGAGGCAGAAGUAGGGAAUGUGCCGCAAUGGGCGAAAGCCUGACGGAGCAACACCGCGUGAGUGAUGAAGGUGUUCGGAUCGGAAAUCUCUGUUAUUAGGGAAGAACAGAAGGGUACGUAGCUGUACGCGUCUUGACGGUACCUAAAGAGAAAGCAACGGCUAACUACGUG
rnacentral:rRNA from 1 species